UUCCAGAGUGCUCUACAGGAGCUUCAAACAUCACAUUCAAAAUUAAGAAUCUGUGACUGAGAAUUGCAAACUGGAUCCUAAAGUGAAUAUCAGCAACCAUGUUUCUGUUUAAAUUGAUCAAAAAUGCACUGAAUCAUUUUGAGACUGGUAUACUGCAGACCAGAGCUUGUAACCAUUACUUUCUUGAACUUCAAUACCUACAAUACCCAAGUUAGCUUGAUUGUUUACAUCAUUGAGCUUUAAGAUGGGUUCUGGAGACUGAGAGUUGGCAUAGUCAUAUCCUGGACAUUGUGGUUGAUUUUUAAUAAAGGAAUAUCCUUACUGCAUGAUUUGGAAUUUUGACUUUUUCUAACUCCUGAACCACCAACCUGGUGUUUAUGUUUAAUUGGAAUAGCCAAGCAACAAAAAAAUUUGCUUUGUUAGGCGAGGAUGAUAGUUUUUAAACUUUACUAAUGAAUUCUUAUUCUUAUAAGUUAAUUGAUUUAUACCACAUGUCUAAAUAUUUGUACUUAGAAAUGCACCAUAAUUAAUGGAGCUUAGUCCCAGAUAAAUGAGUAUGGGAUUGUAAACUUAUUUAAAUGUGCAGAUAUUUAAUAUGAAGAAUUAAAUGCAAAACCUUAAUGUUAGGAUUACAAAUUAAUUUGCCAGUAUUUUUCAUUAGAAAUUGUGAGAAACAUUUUCUUGCUGUUUCUUUGUUCCUAUCAAGGGAGGAAGAUUUAACAUUUUUCUUAAAUCCAUGAGGUAGCUGGCAGAUGCGAACAAGUCAUUCCACAUGGAUACAUUUUUUGCAGUCCUAAUUCUUCUUUGGGCCACCAUGUUUUGCAGGAUCUGUCUGAGAAAAAGUCACCAUCUAAUGAAUUUUAACCACCCAAAAAGUGAGGCAUUGUAAACUACUUUCCAGGACAAAGCAGGCCUUUAAUAAAGGAAACUGAAAUGGAAAUUUGUAAGCAGGGGGGCUCAUUGUGGCUUCUUCUUCUUUUGUGUUUGACAAUCCUCUGAUGUUAUUGUGCUUCUACCUCAAGAGACAGAAUAAUAACACAGAGCUGGAAGGUAAGCCUCAUUGUCUUGUAUCUGUUUAAAGUUGCUAGCUAAUUGAAAUGGUGCAGAAGCCGGGUCUUCAAGCAGGUUCCUCUCCAAUGUUCCUUCUUUUGUGAUUUGUAGGACUUUUCUUCAUCGCUUGGUUGCAAAAAACAUCUGGUUCAGCUUUUGAGAAAUAUUUGUAGCCAUUGCACAUCAGGGUUUAAUUACUGCCUCUGAAACAUUAAUGGAUGCCAUACUGUACUAAUAGAUUUUAUCUUCACUGUUUUAUAUCUAUGAAGUGUAACUGACAAAUGGGAGCCUUGUUUAGCAGGGACUUUAAUAACAGCAGCUAUUUACUGAAGAACUAUGUGCUGAGUGAGUUCAAAUGAUGGGCAACACUCAAAAGGACUGGGAUUUGGUUUUGAACUUGCAAACACACAUUGCAAUUGUGUAAUGCUAUAGACUUGUGCUCAGAAGGCAGUCUGGCGAAUGGUUAAAAGGCAUUUCUUGUCAGAGGCAGUUCUGUCAUGCAAAUGCAAAAUGUGAACAUUUGUUUAGUUACCUUGAGUCAUGAUCACUCCUGCCAUGAUGAACACUAACACUGGAAGGAGUUACAACCAUAUGAUCAAACACAGACAACUCUAUGUCAUAUGAACACCCCUUUCUUUAAAAGACUAUUAAGUGAUAACCUUUCUCCCUCACAUCCUUUCUCACCUUCUUUAUAUUCUUUGGAAGCAUCAGCAGGAAGGUCACAAAAUGCUGGCUGACAUUACAGCAUGACACAGCUGUUCCAGUUUGCAGGCAAGAGUUCUAUAUUAGCUUGGUUGCCCUAUUCUAUUAUGUGAUGUAAAGAACAUGCUGCAAGUGAAAUCACAGCUUUCUAUUGUUCAACUAAGCAUUCUCAACCAAUGACAAAAAUAGAAGACCUUACUUGUACAUAGUUCUGCCUGUCCAUCUCAAUUCCACAGAACUCUGGAUCAUUGUAAUAAUGGUUAAGAUGUUAUACAGGGAACACGUGAAAAUUGAAAUGACAAGACAGCACAUACUAAAAUAAAAAAAAUUCAAGGGAGCCAAAAGCAGGCAUUCUAUUAGUGACAUCUUCAUCUUGGAAAGAAGUGACGAGUGGAGUGCCGCAGGGUUCCGUCCUGGGCCCGGUUCUGUUCAACAUCUUUAUUAACGACUUAGACAAAGGAUUAGAAGGCACGAUCAUCAAGUUUGCAGAUGACACCAAACUGGGAGGGAGUGUCUUCUAACACUCCAGAAGACAGGAGCAGAAUUCAAAACGAUCUUAACAGACUAGAGAGAUGGGCUGAAACUAACAAAAUGAAGUUCAACAGGAACAAAUGCAAGGUACUUCACUUCGGCAGAAAAAAUGGAAUGCAAAGAUACAGAAUGGGGGACGCCUGGCUCAACAGCAGUACGUGUGAAAAAGAGUCCUCGUGGACAACAAGUUAAACAUGAGCCAACAUGAGCCAACAAUGUGAUGUGGCUGCUAAAAAGCCAACGGGAUUCUGGCCUGCAUAAAUAGGGGUAUAGCAUCUAGAUCCAGGGAAAUCAUGCUACCCCUCUAUUCUGCCUUGGAAUACUGUGUCCAAUUCUGGGCACCGCAAUUGAAGGGAGAUGUUGACAAGCUGGAAAGCAUCCAGAGGAGGGCAACUAAAGUGAUCAAGGCUCUGGAGAACAAGCCCUAUGAGGACAGGCUUAAAGAACUGGGCAUGUUUAGCCUGCAGAAGAGAAGGCUGAGAGGAGACAUGAUAGCCAUGUACAAAUACAUGAAGAGAAGUCAUAGGGAGGAGGGAGCAAACUUGUUUUCUGCUGCCCUGCAGACUAGGAUGCGGAACAAUGGCUUCAAACUACAGGAAAGGAGAUUCCACCUGAACAUCAGGAAGAACUUCCUCACUGUGAGGGCUGCUUGGCAGUGGAACUCUCUGCCCUGGACUGUGGUGGAGGCUCCUUCUUUGGAGGCUUUUAAGCAGAGGCUGGAUGGCCAUUUGUCGGGGGUGCUUUGAAUGCAAUGUCCUGCUUCUUGGAAGGGGGUUGGACUGGAUGGCCCAUGAGGUCUCUUCCAACUCUACUAUUCUAUGAUUCUAUUAUUCUUUAUCAUAUGAAAACAUAAGUUAAGCUGCAUAUGUCUUUUAUGGUCAUUGUGGAGGUUGGUGUUCUCUUUAUGUGUCACAAUGACCAAAGCCUAACUGGUGGAUCUUGGUGGAAGAUCAGUCUGUGUCUCUCUAUGGAGCAUAGUCAAAUGCUUAUCUGAUGCCAUUCCUCACUAUUUCCCAGCCAUGGAAUUCAGGUGCUAUCACAGCAAAACAAUGAGUCUUUGAUGUGGGAGAAACUAUAGGAGAGUUCUUCUUGAGCAACACUUGUACUUUGCUGAGCAAUGUAGGUCAAACUUUGAUAGAGAAGCAUAUUUACCCCACCAUAAAGCAUCCAGGACUGGUCAGAAAGCAUUUCACUUUAACUAUGGAGUGAGGGAGCAUGGUCUGUGUAGGGUAUUUAAGUCAGCCAUGCACACUUCUCUUCUUUGAAAUUCAUUGGAGCUGGUAGCAACAUCAAUUGCUACUUCAGAUUUUGGGGAUUUCAGAAAUUGUAGCUUAUUGGAUUUGUAUUCUGCUGUCUUUUACAUUAUUCUCUGGGUCAGUUUAAUUGGUUUACAAUUUGAUUGAUUUAAUUGUUUGGAUAUUUAGUUCAGGGUGUUUUUUUUUUAUUGGGAGGGAAUUUAGGAGGACUGAGUGGGGGAUUUUUUGCCUGAAACCUUGCCAUGGCAUUACUGUUUUUCCUUUUUUUGUUUUCUUCUGAUUACCUGCCCCCCCUUUCCUCUCUGUUUCGUUUAGUUGCCACAUGUAAACAGGGGUGUGCCACUCACAGCUGUGUGACACUCUUGGCUUGUAGCACUUACCACUUACCACUCCAGCUGUUUUCUGCUUUCUCACACACAGGUCUGGCUGCUUAAGAGUGGUGCUUUGCCUUGCAACUGUGCUUUAUGCAACUCUGGCUACUGGUUGCCUCUCUCAUGGCUUCGGAUGCUUUCUACCUCUCUCGCGCCUUCUCAUAUAUGGCCCUUUAUGUGGCUUGCAGCUUCAUCAGUGGGUCCAGCUGCUUGCCUCUCCCAUGACUCGCAUGCGGCUCCGGCUGUCGGGGAAGUCUGUUCUCCCUUCUUGGACUGCAAGAAGAUCAAACCAGUCCAUACUACAGGAAAUAAAGCCCGACUGCUCAAUGGAGGGAAGGAUAUUAGAGGCAAAGAUGAAGUCCUUUGGCCACAUAAUGAGAAGACAGGAAAGCUUGGAGAAGAGAAUGAUGCUGGGGAAAAUGGAAGGAAAAAGGAAGAGGGGCUGACCAAGGGCAAGAUGAAUGGAUGAUAUCCUUGAAGUGACUAGCUUGACCUUGAAGGACCUGGGGGUGGCGACAGCUGACAGAGAGCUCUGGUCCAUGAGGUCACCAAGAGUCGGAAGCGACUGAACGACUGAACAACAACAAGAUAUCUGUGGGUGGGGAUUAAUCUCAUGUUCUUGGGGCUGGUUUUGUGGCCUUUGCCCUAGUUAGAAGUCAAAGUGACUUUGGGAGCUUAUACCCUUUGACUAACCUUCCAGGAUACGAGCUGGACCUUUGAGCAACCAUGUGAAUCAGGGAUUUCUUUUAGGGGCUUUGGUGUUUUGCCCUAUGGGAGUUUGGGGGCUCGAGUCAGGGGUGACCAACUACCUCAGCCACUUCCAUAUGAGAUCACUUACCCAAAUGAUUAUUUGCUAUCUUCAAGAAAAUGCAUAAAAUAGGAAACUAAUUAAUAAAAGUUAUCCUUUGUUCAAUCUA